rnacentral:rRNA from 1 species
AUGCAGUCGAGCGGGGAAAGGUAGCUUGCUACUGGACCUAGCGGCGGACGGGUGAGUAAUGCUUAGGAAUCUGCCUAUUGGUGGGGGACAACAUCUCGAAAGGGAUGCUAAUACCGCAUACGUCCUACGGGAGAAAGCAGGGGAUCUUCGGACCUUGCGCUAAUAGAUGAGCCUAAGUCGGAUUAGCUAGUUGGUGGGGUAAAGGCCUACCAAGGCGACGAUCUGUAGCGGGUCUGAGAGGAUGAUCCGCCACACUGGGACUGAGACACGGCCCAGACUCCUACGGGAGGCAGCAGUGGGGAAUAUUGGACAAUGGGCGCAAGCCUGAUCCAGCCAUGCCGCGUGUGUGAAGAAGGCCUUAUGGUUGUAAAGCACUUUAAGCGAGGAGGAGGCUACUUUAGAUAAUACCUAGAGAUAGUGGACGUUACUCGCAGAAUAAGCACCGGCUAACUCUGUGCCAGCAGCCGCGGUAAUACAGAGGGUGCAAGCGUUAAUCGGAUUUACUGGGCGUAAAGCGCGCGUAGGCGGCUAAUUAAGUCAAAUGUGAAAUCCCCGAGCUUAACUUGGGAAUUGCAUUCGAUACUGGUUAGCUAGAGUGUGGGAGAGGAUGGUAGAAUUCCAGGUGUAGCGGUGAAAUGCGUAGAGAUCUGGAGGAAUACCGAUGGCGAAGGCAGCCAUCUGGCCUAACACUGACGCUGAGGUGCGAAAGCAUGGGGAGCAAACAGGAUUAGAUACCCUGGUAGUCCAUGCCGUAAAACGAUGUCUACUAGCCGUUGGGGCCUUUGAGGCUUUAGUGGCGC